rnacentral:rRNA from 1 species
UACGUAGGUGACAAGCGUUGUCCGGAUUUACUGGGCGUAAAGAGCGCGCAGGCGGUCGUUCAAGUCGAGUGUGAAAGCCCCCGGCUCAACUGGGGAGGGUCAUUCGAUACUGAUCGGCUCGAAGGCAGGAGAGGGAAGUGGAAUUCCCGGUGUAGUGGUGAAAUGCGUAGAUAUCGGGAGGAACACCAGUGGCGAAGGCGAACUUCCUGGCCUGUUCUUGACGCUGAGGCGCGAAAAGCUAGGGGAGCAAACGGGG